rnacentral:rRNA from 1 species
UACGGAGGGUGCAAGCGUUAAUCGGAAUUACUGGGCGUAAAGCGCACGCAGGUGGCUGAGUCAGUCGAUUGUGAAAGCCCUGGGCUUAACCUGGGAAUUGCAGUCGAUACUACUCAGCUAGAGUAUGGGAGAGGGUAGUGGAAUUCCCGGUGUAGCGGUGAAAUUCGUAGAUAUUCGGAGGAACACCAGUGGCGAAGGCGGCUCACUGGCUCGACACUGACGCUGAGGUGCGAAAGCGUGGGGAGCAAACAGG